rnacentral:rRNA from 1 species
CUGAUGUUAGCGGCGGACGGGUGAGUAACACGUGGAUAACCUACCUAUAAGACUGGGAUAACUUCGGGAAACCGGAGCUAAUACCGGAUAAUAUUUUGAACCGCAUGGUUCAAAAGUGAAAGACGGUCUUGCUGUCACUUAUAGAUGGAUCCGCGCUGCAUUAGCUAGUUGGUAAGGUAACGGCUUACCAAGGCAACGAUGCAUAGCCGACCUGAGAGGGUGAUCGGCCACACUGGAACUGAGACACGGUCCAGACUCCUACGGGAGGCAGCAGUAGGGAAUCUUCCGCAAUGGGCGAAAGCCUGACGGAGCAACGCCGCGUGAGUGAUGAAGGUCUUCGGAUCGUAAAACUCUGUUAUUAGGGAAGAACAUAUGUGUAAGUAACUGUGCACAUCUUGACGGUACCUAAUCAGAAAGCCACGGCUAACUACGUGCCAGCAGCCGCGGUAAUACGUAGGUGGCAAGCGUUAUCCGGAAUUAUUGGGCGUAAAGCGCGCGUAGGCGGUUUUUUAAGUCUGAUGUGAAAGCCCACGGCUCAACCGUGGAGGGUCAUUGGAAACUGGAAAACUUGAGUGCAGAAGAGGAAAGUGGAAUUCCAUGUGUAGCGGUGAAAUGCGCAGAGAUAUGGAGGAACACCAGUGGCGAAGGCGACUUUCUGGUCUGUAACUGACGCUGAUGUGCGAAAGCGUGGGGAUCAAACAGGAUUAGAUACCCUGGUAGUCCACGCCGUAAACGAUGAGUGCUAAGUGUUAGGGGGUUUCCGCCCCUUAGUGCUGCAGCUAACGCAUUAAGCACUCCGCCUGGGGAGUACGACCGCAAGGUUGAAACUCAAAGGAAUUGACGGGGACCCGCACAAGCGGUGGAGCAUGUGGUUUAAUUCGAAGCAACGCGAAGAACCUUACCAAAUCUUGACAUCCUUUGACAACUCUAGAGAUAGAGCCUUCCCCUUCGGGGGACAAAGUGACAGGUGGUGCAUGGUUGUCGUCAGCUCGUGUCGUGAGAUGUUGGGUUAAGUCCCGCAACGAGCGCAACCCUUAAGCUUAGUUGCCAUCAUUAAGUUGGGCACUCUAAGUUGACUGCCGGUGACAAACCGGAGGAAGGUGGGGAUGACGUCAAAUCAUCAUGCCCCUUAUGAUUUGGGCUACACACGUGCUACAAUGGACAAUACAAAGGGC